rnacentral:rRNA from 1 species
GCUCUUCUCGGCUAUGUGAGAAGGGCGGCAAACGGCUCCGUAACACGUAGUCAAUCUGCCCUUAGGACGGACAUAACCCUGGGAAACUGGGGCUAAUAUCCGAUAGAUGAAAGUGCCUGGAAUGGCCUUUCGUUAAAAUAUCCUUGGAAACAUGCUUUCAAGAGUGCCUAAGGAUGAGACUGCGUCCGAUCAGGCUGUUGGUGGGGUAACGGCCCACCAAACCUAUAACCGGUACGGGCCCUGAGAGGGGAAGCCCGGAGAUGGGAACUGAGACAAGGUCCCAAGCCCUACGGGGCGCAGCAGGCGCGAAACCUCCGCAAUGCGCGAAAGCGUGACGGGGUUACCCCGAGUGCUGUCCGUAAGGAUAGCUUUUUCUCAGUGUAAAUAGCUGGGCGAAUAAAGGGGGGGCAAGUCUGGUGUCAGCCGCCGCGGUAAUACCAGCCCCCUGAGUGAUAGGGACGACUAUUUAGCCUAAAGCGUCCGUAGCCGGCUUAGCAAGUCUUUCGUUAAAUCUAACGACUUAAUCGUUAGGCCGCGGGAGAUACUGUUAGGCUAGAGGGCGGAAGAGGUUGACGGUAGUCCCGGGGUAGGGGUGAAAUCCUAUAAUCCUGGGAGGACCACCAGUGGCGAAGGCGGUCAACUAGAACGCGCCUGACGGUGAGGGACGAAAGCUGGGGUAGCGAACCGGAUUAGACACCCGGGUAGUCCCAGCUGUAAACGAUGCGGGCUA